UAUCUAGAUCUACUCUAGUUUAGAGAAGAGAGGAGAGCUCUCAUCUCUAAACCCUAGCUUUUGCUCUAUCUAUGAAUAAUGAAUAAUGAUCAAGGGGUGCCUCCUCCAGGGGCCAGGGGGUCUGGUUAUAUAGUCCCCUCAAGUGAACCUGGGCCGUCGGAUCAAACCGACAUUGAUUGAACGGUUAUUCUUGAUCCUUUAGGUCAGUGGAGAUCUCCCAAGAGAAAGAGUCCUGAUUGGGUUCCAAGUCAGGGCGGGCGCCCAGGGCAGGAGGGCGGGCGCCCUGUCCCUGACUCCGUUCGGCCUCCGCUUCCUUCCCAUGGCUUCUGGAGUCUUCUAGAUGUAAGAUAAUUGCGUGGCACGUUAAUAUCUCUAUGUAAUCCCGACGUGUGGGCCUUUCUUCCGUAUUUCCUGAUAACCCCCUGCAGAAAUAGACAAACACCAAAACUCGUGGAAUUCUGUUAGAUAAAACCCUAAGUCUAGAUGUUGAUUUCAUUUGGAUCCUUUUCUUUGUUUAUUUGCUUAUUAAAUUUGAUACUUAAGGACCGUCAACAAACUCCCCUAAGCUUACCUCUUGCUCGUCCCUGAGCAAGGAUAGUCUCAGCAAUGGAUCAGAAGUUGUUGCAAUAUCUUAAAAAUUUGACGGUACACAUGCUUUUAAAUAAGAUCUCAUCUCUGAGUUAGAGUAAACUAUCAAGAACUAAAACUUACUUACUUUACCUUUCACCAUGGGACUUGUAACCGUCACUUCUGUCUUGAGUAGUUAAAAGAUAGAACAGUCUAGCCAAGUGCCAUGUCUCUUAUUCUUGAUCAGCUAUAGCUCUGGAGUUUUUGCAGAUUUUCAAAUAAAACUCAGAGAUUCCUUGUAUGACUCUCUAAAUCUCUCUUUUGUGGUAUUUCUGGAUCCUUACCAAGGCAGUGAUGGUAUAUGCCUUCUCUCAAGAUAUGUGGUAUUUGUGGUAUAAGGUAUAGUGACAUUGCCUUCUCUCUCACCCUACCCUAAUAAGGCUUUAAUAUCUGGAGCUCAUAGGUGGGAGAUAAAGUAUACAUACUUAUAAGACAUUUAUUGUAUAGUCAAACCAUGGAUCCAAAGAAACAAAUCAAUAAGCCAAAUCAAGAUGUGCAUGUGUGGCGAAUGAAUGGUGUAUGGUGAUGAUGGUGAUAACAAUGGUGAAAGUCUAAUUCUACUUUUGCUCUUUUGCGGGGAUACAUACCUUUCUUGCACUUUGAAGCUUUUUGAGGAGAAUGAGAUGCUCUUCUUUUUCUUUCCUCUCAGGUGGGUAUCUUGUACCCCUAAUUCUACUGUCGGACACUUGUCCAUUUUUACCUCUCGUCUCACUUUUUCUUUCUUUCGAGGUUCCGGGCAGUUGCCCCUUUUUAUUUCCUCAUUUAUUUUUUUCUUUUCUUCUCUUUUCUUUUUUUUUCAGAGCACUCAUCUCUUGAGAUAAUAUAGCAAGUGGUAGUAGCAAGAUAACUUGAGCAUUUAUUUCACAAGGAAAACAGAAAUAUUUUUGGCUAUUCUCUCCCGGAUUAGGAGUAGAAUAUUUUUGGGUGGUUCUGGAGAUGGACAUAGAUGGAUAUAUGUGGAUGGUACUUACGGAGUAGAAGUAGCAUAUAUGAGUGAACGUGCAAGUGAAUCUUGAUUUAACCACAUGACAAGCUCCUAAGGGUCUACACAGCUUGACCACACUCAAUGCUCAUAAGCAGUAAAUAGUAAAUGUGUGGCUCAAAGUCUAGCAAGCAUGUAUAUAUGGCUGUGCUAGGAAUUUAAACUCUCAUCAUACAGGAACUCAUCAUGCAAUAUUUUAAAGAUUUUCCAAAGAUAAAAUUCUCCAGAAUUCUAGCAUCUCUAGGAACAGAUAAACAACAGCUCAACCUUCCCAUAUCAUAUCCGUUAACAACUUAGAUUUCAGAUCAAGUUUUCAUCCCACAAGUUUAGAUCUAGAGCAAGCUUUAAAUUAUAACAGUUAUGUCUAAAUUUGAGAGAGAACUUCAAAUUUGCAAAUUAGGUAGAGCAACUAUUCAUCAUAUCCAUGCUAGAGUUUCAUUAUUAAGAUUCAGAUUAGCAUAGCCACUUUAUUUAUUUAUUAAACACACUAAGCAAAAGAUAUAUAUAAGCACAAAAUCUUUAUUUGGUUUUUCAUAGUUUAUGUAUUUUAAUAUUCUAACAUAAUAUAAGUAUAAAGAUAGGUAGAAAUACUUAGCGAGAUAAAUGGGGGUGCUCUCCCCCAAGCUGAAUUUUGAAGUAAUUUCUCUUGAUGUAGCUAGCAGGUGGCAGAGGUGUAUUUGAAAGUCAGCAGCAUUCUGACAACGAUUAGAAUAUCCUCCGUCUGCUAGUCUUCUUGAUUCUUAAAUUCUGUGGAGCUAAAAUAGACAACAAAGCUUGUGGAACUAAUUAAGUGUUAGCAUAAAUAUCUAGCCUUCAUCAUAUUGAGCUUCCUCAAUAAAUAUUACUCCCUGUUUUUAUAUUUUUAUUUUAUAAAGCAGAAAAGAAAUAUUUAUUUUAUUUUUAUGCCACCACAGUGAAGGUACUUAUGGGUUUUAUGCCACUCGUAUACUCACAUGGGGCUUAGUAUUUUUUAACAUUUUUAUUUUCUUUUCACGAUAGCAUGAUUUAACUAAUAAUCUAUUUAAGGAAAGUAAAUAAUUAAAGGGAAAAUGGAAUGCAGAAAGGAUAAAUAUGGAUAACUACCGAUCUUACCUUUCGGCGAGGGUUCAAUGUUUUAAGUCUUCUUAACAAAACUUAUCACCGUGUUCAUUCUUCAGGUGCGUCAUUUGAUUCAGGUGCGGACCUUGACGUCUGCACCUCUUCGUUUGCCCAGCAGUUCGAAGUGCGGCGUUGGCAGUAUCUUGCUCAGGGUGUUUGUGCUCGUAGAUCCAAGUCCUUCACUUGGUAGAGUCUGAGAGUUAUAAAACUCCUCCAUGUUUUGCUCGAAGUGUACCUGCUCAUAGAGACAAGGCAGAGAUCAAGUGCAUGGGUCCUGUUGGUGGAAAACACCAACAGAACUUAAAGUCUAUUUGUUCUUCUCUAACCCUAAGCAUAGUGAGCAAGACAAAGUUGAUGGAUGAAAAGUUCAUGAGUGUAGUGUUGAUAUUUGGUAACGCAAUAAGGAAAUGAUCCGCAAGCGCAUGGAUAUCGGUGAGCAUUUCACCCGAGAGGUUAUCUAGAGUUAUCGUAUUUAUAUUUUUACCACUGGGAGAAAGGGUGCAUCUGACUAACCAAAUCUAUUGCUACUAUCCCUUUAGGCUACAAAGAAUGUUUCUCGAUGUGAGUGAUGUAUAGAGAAGACUGCAACUGUAGUCUCGUUCUAACCUUGGUAAGGAUGAUCUACUGUUCUAUUGGGGCAGCUUAUGGAAUCUAGACACCACAAAGGAUGUUCGACCCGCACCUAUAAACCUACCCGUCCUGCUAACAAGAUAUGGGAUACAAAGGUAACUCGGAAAUGUCACGUUCCUUGCUACUACCACGGUCCAGCUAGUCAGGGGAUAUCUAUGAGUACCCUAGCCUAAACACCAUGUUUACGCUAGCAAUGAUUACUCUAAUACUCAACCGGAAGAGGAUUAAAGUAAACUCAUAAACCAAAGAACAAUAAAACAAGAACUUACUAGAAUUAGAAGUCGAAUUACUGAAGAAUCUUAGAAGCAAGCCUCGGGUUAGGAGACUUGAUCCCGUAGGUACAACUCGGAGUAGACACCGACAGGCCGGCCUUCCUUCGAUCUACACCUCCACUCUAUCUCUCUCAAUCUAGUAGAAACUAGAAGAUCUAUUUCUAUUUACAUUGGUUGCUAAGCCUAAAAAGAAAUAUUAUUUAGAGAAGAGGUUUUCCUUCGAGGGCACCCCUCAAUCUCUAUGAUAACUUCUUGUCUUCUCCAGGGGCCAGGGGGUCUCCUUAUAUAGUCCUCCUCCUCUAUGCGUUUUUGGGUCGGUAGGCGAUGUGGUACUACGUUAUCCUUGAUCCUUUAGGUCGGUGGAACAUCGUGUGCGAAGAGAGUCCCGAACGGAGUCCAGGACAGGGCGGGCGCCCUGGGCCUAGCCCCUUUCGGCCUCUGCUUUCUUCUCGUGGCUUCUGGAGUCUUCUAGAUGGUAGAAAAUUGCGUAGUAUGUUGAUAUCUCUAUGUAAUCCCGACAUGUGGGCCUUUCUUCCUUAUUUCCUGAUAACCCCCUGCAGAAAUAGACAAACACCAAAACUCGUGGAAUUCUGUCAGAUAAAACCCUAAUUCUAGGUGUUGCUUGCAUUUGGAUCCUUUUCUUUAUUUAUUUGAUGAUUAUAUUUGCUAACUUAAGGACCGUCAACAACUCCCCCAAGCUUACCUCUUGCUCGUCCCUGAGCAAGGAUGAACUCAAGAGUUUCUGCAGUGGUUUCAUGCCUUAAAAGUACACACGCAUUCAAGCAAGAUCUCAUCUCUGAGUUAGAAUAAACUGUUAAGACUUAAAACUUACUGAUUUUACCUUUCACCAUGUGGCUUGUAACCGUCACUUGUGUCUUGAGCAGUUAAAAGAUAGAACGGUCAAGUCAAGCGCCAUGUCUCUUAUUCUUGAUCAGCUAUAGCUCUGGAGUUUUUGCAGAUUUUCAAAUAAAACUCAGAGAUUCCUUAUAUGACUCUCUCAGAUCUCUCUUUUGUGGUAUUUCUGGAUCCUUACCAAGGUAGUAAUGGUAUAUGCCUUCUCUCAAAGUAUGUGGUAUUUUUGGUAUGAGGCAUAGUGAUAUUGCCUUCUCUCUCACCCUACUCUAAUAAGGUUUUGAUAUCUGGAGCUCAUAGGUGGGAGACAGCUAAUACAUACUUACAAGACAUUUAUUGCAUAGUCAAACCAUGGAUCCAGAGAAACAAGUCAAUAUAUCAAAUCAAGAUGUGCAUGUGUGGUGAAUGAAUGGUGUAUGGUGAUGAUGGUGAUAAUAAUGGUGGAAGUCUAAUUCUACUUUUGCUCUUUUGAGGGGAUACAUACCUUUCUUGCACUUUGAAGCUUUUUGGGAAGAAUGAGAUGCUCUAUAUUUUCUUUUUCUUUCCUCUCAGGUGGGUAUCUUGUACCCCUAAUUCUACUGUCGGACACUUGUCCAUUUUUACCUCUCGUCUCACUUUUUCUUUUCUUCGAGGUUCCGGGCACUUGCCCCUUUUUAUUUCCUCGUAUUUAUUUUUUAUUCUUUUUCUUUUUUUUAGAGAGCACUCUUCUGCUGAAAUAAUAUAGCAAGUGGUAGUAACCAAAAUAACUGGAGCAUUUAUUUCACAGGGAAUAACAGGGAUAGGAAAAUAUUCUUGGCUAUUCUCUCCCGGAUAGGAGUAGAAUACUUUUGGGUGGUUUUGGAGAUGGAAAUGAGUGGAUAUAUGUGGAUGGUACUUCCGGAGUAGAAGUAGCAUGUAUGAGUGAACGUGCAAGUGAAUCUUGAUUUUAACCAGAUGAUAAGCUCCUAAGGGUCUACACAGCUUGACCACACUCAAUGCUCAUAAGCAGUAAAAAGUAAAUGUGUGGCUCAAAGUCUAAUAAGCAUGUAUAUAUGGCUGUAGUAGGAAUUUAAACUCUCAUCAUACAGGAACUCAUCAUGUGUUAUUUUAAAGAUUUUUAAAGAUAAAAUUCUCCAGAAUUCUAGCAUCUCUAGGAACAGAUAAACAACAGCUCAACCUUCCCAUAUCAUAUCCAUUAACAACUUAGACUUUAGAUCAAGUACUCUUCCCACAAGUUCAGGUUUAGAGCAAAUCUUACUUCAUAACAGUCAUGCCUAAACUUGAGAGAGAUUUCAAUUUUAAGAACUAGUCAUGGCAGAGCAACUAUUCAUCAUUUCGAUGUGAGAGUUUAUCAUGAGGGUUCAUAGCAAACUUUAUUUAUUUAUUUAUUUAGCAAACUAAGAAAAGAUAUAUAUAUAUAUAUAUAUAUAAAAGCAAAAAGUCUUUAUUUGGGUUUUCAUGAUUAUGCAUCUUUUAUUAUUUGAGUAAGGUAUAAACGCGAGUAGAAACACUUAGCUGGAUAAAUGGGGGUGCUCUCUCCCAAGCUGAAUUUUGACGUAAUUUCUUCGGAUGUAGCUAGCAGGUGGUGGAGGUGUAUUUGAAUGUCGGCAGCACCCUGACAUCGACUAGGAUGUCCUCCGUCUGCUAGUCUUCUUUGAUCCUUGAAUUCUGUGGAGCAUAAAUAUCUAGCCUUUAUCAUGUUGAGCCUCCUCAAUAAAUGUUACUUAUUUAGCAGGAUCAUGCACUUAUUAUUUUUAUAUUUUUAUUGUAAGAUGAAAACUUAUUUAUUUUAUUUUUAUGCCACCACAGUGAAUGUACUUAUGGGUUUUAUGCCAUGAGCAUACUCACAUGGGGCUUACAUUUUUUAACAUUUUUAUUUUCUUUUCAAGAUAGCAUGAACCUGAUUAACUAAGCAAACUAUAAUUUAAUAAUUGAAAGGAAAAGGAUAACUACCAAGUUUACCUCUUGGCAAGGCGUUCGGUGUUUUUAAGUCCUCCGAACGGGACUCCUUGUGUUUUCAGUCGUCCUGGGAUUCACUAGGUGGCGUAGUCGGUGAUUCCGGCGGCGCCUCUUCUUCGUGUAUAACUAUCUUCUCUCUCCACACCUGACUCGGUGCUACAGUCUCCUCAGGACAGUUCUGUUCAAGCUGUAUGUUUUCAAACCUUAUCACUUCUCCUUCGUAGUCUACCCAUCCGUCCUUGAUGAUUUGCCUCCUCUGGUUGCGGUUCCAUUGUCUUCUUCUUGUCCUGACCUGCUUAGAGUCUUCAACUAUAUAGUUAGGGUCAGUAAAAUAGCGGCGUACCUUCUUAGAGGGGAAGUGCAUAUGGACUUCUCCGGUUCCAAUGUAGAUGAUGGCUUUGAUAGUGUUGAGGAACGGUCUUCGAAGGAUGGUGGGUGGAUCAUACUCGUUCUCUCCCAUGUCAAUGACCUGAAAAUUAUCUGGGGCUGAAUGUAUGUUGGUUGUAGGGGCAUGGUUCCAUGUAGGAGCUGAUAAGUGACUGCGGCCAUUAUGUUGACGUCAGAUCCGGUGUCAUAGAGUGUCUUCUAAAAAGAGUAUCUGUUGAUUGUGCACUCAAUGCUUGGAACACCAGGGUCGUCCUUCUUGAUCAAGAAAGGUGACUUGAGUCGACGAUCUUGACCUCCUUGAGCUGCAGUGACCAUCUUAGCUGACUCGGUCCACAUUUGCUUGUUCCUGUUCCUCCUGUUGGUCCUCUUCCUUGGUUCAUGUCGGGAUUGCUCUGAAAUUUGUGUAGUCUUGUUCUUGAAGGAAAGUCUCCUUCUUUCCCUUGAUGUAGAAACUGAUCUUGGCAGCAUUAGCGUAGAUGACAGCUCUGGUGUUUAGGAAUGGCCUCCCUAAGAUGAUGGGUGCUCUCUCCUCAGUACCAGUCUCUAUCACCACGAAGUUUGCUGAAGCGUACAAGGUACCAACUCGGACACAGAGGUUCUUCAAUAUUUCCUUUAGGAAACUAAGUGUCUGAUCUCCAUUGUGUUUGUGCUCGUAGAUCCCGGUUCUUCACUUGGUGGAAUCUGGGAGUUGUAAAACUCCUCCAUGUUUUGUUUGAAGUGUACCUAUUCAUAGAGACAAGGCAGAGAUCAAGUGCAUGGGCCCUGUUGGUGGAAAACACCAACAGAACCAAAAGUGUAUUUGUUCUUCUCUAUCCUUAAGCAUAGUGAGCAAGACAAAGUUGAUGGAUCAUGAGUGUAGCAUUUAAAACAUUUGUUAGAUCAGAUGGCUCAACCUAAUGGAAAGAUAAUCUAUCUAUAUUUAUGUUUUGUUUAUAUCUUCCAAAGAUUGAAUGUGCAACAUUUUAGCUUAUAUGAUUAGGAGUGUGGGAUCACGAAGGUAGUACUAAGAAUAAAGAUUAAAGGACUAAACAUGCUGAAUUAAUCGAGCUGGUUAAUUUAGAGUUAUAAAUCAUACAUGUUUGUCUCUUUUAUUCAUGUGUAUGCCAGAACCAAGGAGAAGCUUGUAAAAGUGUUAGUUAAGUACCUUA
rnacentral:lncRNA from 1 species